rnacentral:rRNA from 1 species
UGGGGAAUUUUGGACAAUGGGGGCAACCCUGAUCCAGCCAUGCCGCGUGCGGGAAGAAGGCCUUCGGGUUGUAAACCGCUUUUAUUCGGAAAGAAGGAGUCCGGGCUAAUACCCUGGAUGACAGACGGUACCGGAUGAAUAAGGACCGGCUAACUACGUGCCAGCAGCCGCGGUAAUACGUAGGGUCCAAGCGUUAAUCGGAAUUACUGGGCGUAAAGCGUGCGCAGGCGGUUCUGAAAGUCAGCUGUGAAAGCCCCGGGCUUAACCUGGGAAUUGCGGUUGAAACUACAGGGCUAGAAUCUGGCAGAGGGGGUGGAAUUCCACGUGUAGCAGUGAAAUGCGUAGAGAUGUGGAGGAACACCGAUGGCGAAGGCAGCCCCCUGGGCUGAGAUUGACGCUCAGGCACGAAAGCGUGGGGAGCAAACAGGAUUAGAUACCC